UACGUAGGUGGCGAGCGUUGUCCGGAUUUACUGGGCGUAAAGGGAGCGUAGGCGGACUUUUAAGUGAGAUGUGAAAUACCCGGGCUCAACUUGGGUGCUGCAUUUCAAACUGGAAGUCUAGAGUGCAGGAGAGGAGAAUGGAAUUCCUAGUGUAGCGGUGAAAUGCGUAGAGGUUAGGAAGAACACCAGUGGCGAAGGCGAUUCUCUGGACUGUAACUGACGCUGAGGCUCGAAAGCGUGGGGAGCAAACAGGAUUAGAUACCCGGGUAGU
rnacentral:rRNA from 1 species